rnacentral:tRNA from 1 species
GCCUUCGUGGUGUAGUGGUUAGCACACUCGACGCGUAACUGAGAAGUCUGUGGUUCAAUUUCCGGCGAAGGCG